CGUCAUCGUUAGUGCUGCUGGUAGAACACUAUUCGAAUCAGUGUGACGAGAUCACCCCAGAGAAACAAGCAAGAGGGACCGUCAAAAGCCCAACACAAGCAACUUCUUGCUGCCAACGAAGCCCAAAAAAGCUAAGUUUUUUUUUACUAACACACUUAAGUUACGUUCAAAUUCAGCGAAAAUACAAAAAUAAAUGUCUGUCUUAAAGGUGGAAUUACAUUUCAAACCACAUAGGCAGUAGAUCAGCUUUUAUUUAAACUCGUUCUCAGUUAUGUGCCUGAUGGCGAAAAUAAUGCACAAGCCCGUUUAUCAAUCCGCGCUUUUGUCCGUUCUUCUGUUCUCGUGAAUUUGAUUGACGUCAUCUUUCAUGGCCCAAGUACUGUUCCAAUCCAAAGAAUGCAAGUUACCAAGAACGCCUAAAAUGCCGAGAAGGGUCCAACUGCAGCUUGCAGCAGUCGCUCACGCCAGGCCCCCUGCUCACGCCGCGCCCGCGCACGCCGCGCCCCCGCUGGCACGCAACUUCCGACUUUCAGACAUGUACGGUUUGUUUACAAGACGCAGAUGGACCAUAUUGCCAUAUUGAGUCAUGGCGGCAACAACUCCCGGGAAGCACCUGUGACUUAGCUCAUCACAUUGCUCUGGGCCAGUGGGCAACUAAAUUUGGCAAAGACAUUGAGGUGCAUCUCUCCAACCACGGUUUCCCUCAUCAAACUACUGUACAUUCUUGUGGCAUCUUAAUGUUGAUGUAUGCACUCAGCCUGAGCACAGAGGCUCCAUUUUGGUUCAUGGAGAGGGACAUGGCACGCAUCUGAAAAUGGUGGUGCAUUAGUCUAAUGGAACGGUUCCAGAUUGACGGCCAUGGACAGAGGUUUGCAUACUGGACUAAUGAGGCCAGAGCAUUGCUCCAAGGUUCACUGCAGCCGAUAUACAGGGUCCCAAGGUCAGCAAGAGGGAACAUGAGGUUUCGAUUAGAAAAGGAUGACAGGUGCGUCAUAUUGGAGUUACCAACGUGUGUGCUUUCUGAAAUCCUAAAUGAAAUGGUACUACAGGAAGGAGAUAAGGCAUACUUAAGAUUGGCUCUUGUGUGUACCACCUUCAGGGACACUGGCCCUCAUUUAUCAAAAGUGCAUACACCAAAUUUCCAGCGUACACCCAAAACCACGGUGACUUUGAGAUUUAUCAAUAUGGACGUUGGCACUCUCAAAUCCUACGCCAGCUCAGGAGGUGGUGUACGCACGUUCUGAGUUAAUGCGGAAAUGCGCAGGAAAAAAAUCCUAACGCACUGACAAACUAAAAGAUAUGAUAUAUUAUGACCCACUGUAAAAAAAAAACUUCAGUGUUUAGUUUUGUGCAACAUGGACUUCAAUGUUUAAUUUGUGUGACUUUACCAAAGCAUUUGAUUUAUAUGUAUUCCUUCAGAUGCGAGCCUGUGCGCUUUACAUGACGUUUCAGGGUUAGGCCAGGCAGUUGCGCACGGACUGGGUUCAGUAAUAAAAGGCUUUUAAUGACCAAAAUAUAAUUCAGACUGUCAUUUUUAUUAUUUUGUCAUUCUUCUUCUUUUAAAUAAUAAUAAUAAUAAUAAUAAUAAUAAUAAUAAUA
ensembl:lncRNA